rnacentral:rRNA from 1 species
UACGAAGGGGGCUAGCGUUGCUCGGAAUCACUGGGCGUAAAGGGCGCGUAGGCGGCGUUUUAAGUCGGGGGUGAAAGCCUGUGGCUCAACCACAGAAUGGCCUUCGAUACUGGGACGCUUGAGUAUGGUAGAGGUUGGUGGAACUGCGAGUGUAGAGGUGAAAUUCGUAGAUAUUCGCAAGAACACCGGUGGCGAAGGCGGCCAACUGGACCAUUACUGACGCUGAGGCGCGAAAGCCAGGGGAGCGAACGGG